AGCCCGGUGGCACAGUGGUUAGCGCUGUUGCCUCACAAUAAGGAAGUUCUGGGUUUGAGUCCCGGUCGACCAG